AAUGAACGCUGGCGGUAUGCCUAACACAUGCAAGUCGAACGGCAGCACAGUAAGAGUUUGCUCUUACGGGUGGCGAGUGGCGGACGGGUGAGGAAUACAUCGGAAUCUUCUUUUUCGGGGGGGAUAACGUAGGGAAACUUACGCUAAUAUCGCAUACGACCUACGGGUGAAAGCAGUGGAUCUUCGGACCUUGCGCGAUUGAAUGAGCCGAUGUCGGAUUAGCUAGUUGGCGGGGUAAAGGCCCACCAAGGCGACGAUCCGUAGCUGGUCUGAGAGGCUGAUCGGCGACACUGGAACUGAGACACGGUCCAGACUCCUACGGGAGGCAGCAGUGGGGAAUAUGGGACAAUGGGCGCAAGCCUGAUCCAGCCAUACCGCGUGGGUGAAGAAGGCCUUCGGGUUGUAAAGCCCUUUUGUUGGGAAAGAAAAGCAGCAGGUUAAUACCCCGCUGUUCUGACGGUACCCAAAGAAUAAGCACCGGCUAACUUCGUG
rnacentral:rRNA from 1 species